GUGCAACAAUGUGACGUCCUGCCUCGACCGGAAGAACACCCGCCUGGGCUCCUCCAAGGCGAUGGUGAAGCAGCUCUCGUUCUCCGGGAUCUUCGGCAAUAAGCAGGCGACGAACCCAGACCUGUACAACUGGAACAAGGUCAAAGUUCGAUACUGCGACGGCUCCUCCUUCACCGGGGACGUCGAAGCCGUGGAUCCCGUGAGUAGAAGCAGUCUUAUCCAGUCGUCUACCGUUGGUCUCAGAGAAGCGCUGACCUUGCUCCGAUUCCGGCGACGGCGCAGGCCACCAAUCUUCACUUCAGAGGAGGGAGGGUCUUCCUCGCCGUCAUGGAGGACCUGCUCGCCAAGGGGAUGAGCCGCGCCGACCAGGUGCUCGA
rnacentral:lncRNA from 1 species